AUGUCAUGAAGGCUUUGUAAAAUAAGCUCCCUUGAAUAUUGAUCCAAUUCCAAAACCGAGCCGUCAAGCAACUGAACAUAUGAGCUUCUCUCCAAUAUGUUUUCUACAGCACCCUUCACCAGCAGUGAUUUUUUUCCUGUGCUGGAUUUAACAAUAACUCCCAUGGAUUUCCGAUACCGAUCGAACUCAAGAGUUGCAAUGCGCUGAUCCAUUUUAUUCCAUAGUUGACAGCA
rnacentral:misc_RNA from 1 species